UCGAGGCCAGCCUGGUCUACAGAGUGAGUUCUAGGAAAGGCUCCAAAGUUCAAGUUACACAGAGAAACCCUGUCUCAAAACACCAAAUUAAAUAAAAAAGUGUAUUUAUUUACUAUGUGUACAGGUUCCGCCUGCAUGUGUUCCUGCAGGCCAGAAGGUGACUCCAGAUCUCAUUACAGAUGGUUGUGAGCCACCAUGUGGUUGCUGGGAAUUGAACUCAGGACCUCUGGAAGAGCAGCCAUCUCUCCAGCCCCAUGAUUUUUUAAAACUUACCAUCUACUAAGCUAGGCUCUUGUGCUAUGUUCCUAGGUUGACCUUGAAGAGCUGGGCUCAAGUGCCUGGGCCUCCCAAGCAGCUGCACUACAGGCACGCUCUAACCCGGGUAGAAGAAGCGUAUUUACAAGUCAGUGCACAGGAGCUAUAAAGCACAACUUACAUGCAGAGUCUGAUGGCUGAAGGGAGAAGAACAAAGUCAGUAAGUUACCAGCUCACAGUAAGACUGUCUCAGACUCCAUUCCACUCAAGUAGACCGACUGUUUCAAAGGGUCAUCCUAUUUUGUUGUUGUUUUUAAACCUCCAAGUUUUAUAUCUUAAUAAAGCAUUAGGUUUUAGGGGAUCCUGCUAUGUUUCCUAGAAUGGCUUGAUUUCCUAGACCCAAGUGAUCCUCCUGUCUCAGCUUUUCCAGGAUCUGAAACUACAGACAGAUCCUGUUGCUCCUAGCUGGGUUUGUUUCUUUUAAUAAAACAUACUUCCAAAUGAA